AAAAGGUUGCUAAAAAGAAAAAAAUUACAUCACCGAGCGAGCCGACUAAAGAAGAAACUACCAAAGAAACUAAACCGGUGAUUAAGUUGCCCUACCUUUAGAGAAUGACAAAGAAGGAACCUAGUGAGUCAGACUUGGAGAAAUUCAUGACAAUGUUUAAAAGGAUUGAGGGUCAUAUGGCUUUGUUUGAAGCACUUAAAAGGAUGCCCAUGUACAAGAAAUUCGUGGAAGAGGUAAUGGCUGAAAAGAAACCAACCACUGAAG
rnacentral:lncRNA from 1 species